GCAGGAGAAAAUCUGGAAAACGGGAAGGAAGAAAAGAAGCCCCCUGACUCCUCCCUGAGCCCCAGACAGCCCAUGAACUGCCUUCCUGGGAAUGGUAGGACAGGAUGGACUCUGGAUUGCUCCCUCUGGAUGUGUGUGGGAUGUAGCCUGGAAACUGCACAGAGCUGAGCCAAGGGAUUGAAAGGGACCAACCAAGGGAGGUGAAGAAAGAAUUAAAGUGAGGCAGCAGCCAAGCAGCAGCAAGUUGCUGUGUAAGCAGGCCAGGCCAAAGCCCUGAUCCAGCCCAGCUCUGCCAAGUGCCCUGGGCUGGGAGCAGCCAAAGGCAAGAGGCUGCAGCCCCGCCGGCCGGGCUGGGGGCUCCUGGUGCUGCCCGUGGGGUGGGGUAAGU